rnacentral:misc_RNA from 1 species
AAGAUGAAGGCGAUGGGCCGUUUCUUUGAGGAAGGCGACAAAGUCAAAGUGACACUGAAGUUCCGCGGCCGUGAAAUGGCGCACCAGGAACUCGGCAUGAAGCUGCUGCAGCAAGUGAAGGCCGAUACGACCGAGUUCGCAAAGGUCGAAGCCGAGCCCAAGCUCGAAGGCCGCCAGAUGAUGAUGGUGCUUGCGCCGAAGUGAAGCGCACGCCACACUCGUAUCAAAGCCGUCCGUGAGGGCGGCUUUUGUAUGUUGGGUUGGUGCUUACCCAAUCUGACAGGAUGUGUCGAACGGCA